UCACAUUCUACAAUCAAAUUGUACUCGGAACUACAAGAUAUGAGAUAAAAGUUAGUAAAUCACUCCAUUUUUGUCCAACGUGCCGUCACGAACCGGUUUUUUCUAAAAAGUUAUUAUAAACCGGAUUAAAGUUCUUCAAAAUGCGUGAAAUAGUGCACGUUCAAGCUGGGCAAUGUGGAAACCAAAUAGGAUCCAAGUUUUGGGAGAUAAUUUCGGACGAACACGGCGUCGACCCCAACGGUUAUUACAAAGGGGAGAGCGACUUACAACUCGAAAGAAUAAGCGUUUACUACAAUGAAGCUGGUACAGGUAAAUAUGUACCCCGUGCGGUGUUGGUGGACUUGGAACCCGGCACCAUGGACUCAGUCAGGUCCGGGGAGUACGGACAGCUGUUCAGACCAGAUAACUUCGUGUUCGGACAGAGUGGUGCUGGUAACAACUGGGCGAAGGGUCACUACACAGAGGGCGCUGAGCUCGUCGACGCUGUCAUGGAUGUCAUCAGGAAGGAGGCGGAAGGCUGUGACUGUUUACAAGGAUUCCAGUUAACCCACUCCCUAGGCGGUGGUACAGGAUCUGGCAUGGGUACUCUACUGCUCAGCAAAAUCCGUGAAGAGUUCCCAGAUAGAAUUAUGAAUACUUUCAGUGUGGUUCCUUCUCCUAAGGUAAGCGAAGUGGUGCUGGAGCCGUACAACGCGACGCUGUCGGUGCAUCAGCUCGUAGAGAACACCGACAUGUCAUUCUGUAUCGACAACGAGGCGCUCUAUAACAUAUGUUUCCGCACGCUCAAGCUAGCCAGCCCCAGCUACGGAGACCUUAAUCAUUUGAUUUCGCUCACAAUGUCCGGAGUGACCACAUGCCUACGUUUCCCGGGACAACUGAACGCCGACCUCAGGAAGUUGGCUGUCAACAUGGUGCCCUUCCCUAGGUUACACUUCUUCAUGCCAGGUUUCGCUCCGUUAACAGCAAGAAAUGCCUUCAACUUCCGCGCACAAUCUGUACCAGAACUAAUGAGCCAGAUGUUCAACUCGGGUAACAUGAUGACGGCCGCGGACCCGCGUCACGGCCGCUACCUGACUGUGGCCACCAUCUUCAGAGGCAGGAUGUCCAUGAAGGAGGUCGAUGAACAGAUACUGGCUAUACAGAAUAAGAAUUCUAGCUAUUUCGUAGAAUGGAUCCCUAACAACCUGAAGGUGGCAGUGUGUGACAUUCCGCCGCGAGGGCUGAAGAUGUCGGCCACGUUCAUCGGCAACAGCACGGCCAUACAGGAGAUAUUCAAGCGCAUCUCCGAGCAGUUCACCGCCAUGUUCAGGAGAAAAGCUUUCCUCCACUGGUACACGGGCGAGGGCAUGGACGAGAUGGAGUUCACAGAGGCAGCCAGCAACAUGGCGGAUCUUAUCUCCGAAUAUCAACAGUAUCAGGAGGCAAGCGUGGAUGAUGAUGACGUGUUUGAUGAAGAAGAAGAGGCUCCCGAGGAGUAUAGGAUGGAACCCACCAAUAACACCAUGGAAAUGAUAUAAAAAACUAAAACUAAAAUAAAAACAACGGCAUUUUUACUAUUUUUAGUUUAUAUAUUAUCUUUUAUUUUUUUUAUCACCAUUUAUUUUCGUUUUAGUUGUAAGUAAUCGUGUUUUUUUAUUAUUACAAUUUUAAAAUUCCAAUUUGUGUUUGUUUAAAAAUCCGUGUUUGUGUUGUUUUUAAUUUAAAAUUGCGUUUUUUUUAAUUUGCCAGCAAUGCAUAAAAAAAUUGUCUGUGUAAAAAGCAGGGCUUUUUACUUUAUUUUUUAUUUUAGAAAAAAAAAUCUUGAUUAAUAGCAUGACAAACGAAAAAACGCUUUUUUAAAUUAAAAAAAAAUUAAUUGAAUUGCCUAAUUGUUAAAUGUAUCAAUCAGUAUGUCAAUUAAUGUGAUUUUUCAUAUCAUUAAUGAAAAGUGCUUGUAGUUCACAUAAGUGUUUCUAGAGCUUUCAAAUAAAUAUUUAUACAAAGUACAUACAAAACAAUUUUAAUUAUAUGUGAGUGAUUUCCAAAGAUAGCGAUCGUAGAAGCUUGAGAGGUCUAAAAUUAACAAAAACUGCAGUUCUCAUUGUGUAUUUUUGAUAUUAAGGCCACUAAAUGGUGAAGGAAAACAUCUUGAGGAAACCUGGACUAUAAAGUCUGAAAUUGUCAAUCCGCUGUGAGCAAGCGUGGUGAUUAACGCUCAUUCCUUCUUUGUAUGAGAAGAUGCUUAAAUUCCAAAGAAAACUCACUUUUAAUUUAAUAAUUUCUUGUAUUUCCUUUUCAAUUUUAAUUACUAUUAAUAUUAUUUUCAUAUUAGAUCAAGCUUUAAAUUGAAAAUUAUGUAGCGGUUUUUUAAAUCAAUUUAAAAAUCCGUCUUUUUUUUUAAACCGUUUUUAAGCCAUUUUUAAAUUAUAAUGUUAAUUAUUAAGCAUACGUUUGUUGAGCUGUGUUAAGCAUUAAAAUGACGCAGGAAUGUUAUCAUUUAUUAUUUUUGAAAAAUAAAUCAUAUAAAUUGUGUAAAA
rnacentral:misc_RNA from 1 species